AUUUUUAUAUGUUAAAAGAAGGCUUACCCUUUCCCUUUUGAACCAUUCUUUUUCAAUUCUAUUUUUUGUAGAAGAAGAGGAAGAUUUCAGCAAUGCUCAGCAAGUUAUGCUCAGAAUUUUCAGAAAACAUUGGCACCUUCAUUGAGUACAUUGGCAAACUGGACAGGAUGAGGUUGGCAGCUCAAAGAACAAUCUGAACAAGGCAAAGCGACAAAGGGCUGUAGGUGACCAAGGCACAGCUGUUGAGGAGGCUGAUAAUGAUGGAGGCACCUCGGAGGACGACGAAGAGUACUUGCCUAGCUCAGAGUCAGGGGAAGAUGAAGAAGUAGCAAGCACAGAUGACAGCUCUAUGCAUUUGUCGCCCCAAUACCAGCAGUUCCAAAGCAAAAUAAACUCAGACAAAGUAAAUUGGUUUCAAGGAGCAGGGCUUAUGCAACGACCAAGGAAGGUUCAUCAAGUGGGGCGGAGCCGGCCAAGGAGAGUGCAGAUCAUAGUAAGUAUGAAAGCCACACAAAGACGACAUGCAAGGUAAACCCGAGGGACCACAUGUCAAGCAAUGAAAACAGAGUGCAAAUUUACACAACUGCUAACAUACAUGGGUCAGGGAAAACUGGGCAUAGGAUAUCGAAAAGUGAGACUGAUGACACAACAACCUCGGAAUCAGGCGGCAACCACAUCACAAUCCUUGAUAUCAGCCCAUUAUCAUCAGCCCCACCUAUAAAACAAAGGGAUGAAACCUACUACACUCCUGCAAUCACGGAGUCGUGCCCAGCACCUAGCAGCAAAAACAAAGGNNNNACACCUACUCGAGAUAAAGCAGCACAAUCUGCAUUGCACACGAUCCAGGGAAAACUCUGUUUGGGUCCUUUGGCGAAGCAACAAGCAAUGCUGCGUGCACAAGUUGCAUCACCAAACCUGGGUCCUACAGCACCAUUUCAUGACAACAAACCAGCAGGAGUGACACAUGAUUGUCCAUCGUUCGACUUGAAUAGGAGCUUCCACGAAGACGAGAGCACCAAGAGGGUUGUCUCCGCAUCAAUGAAGCCACGCAACCUAGAUGUUUCUCUAGCAGAAACUGGAGAUGAUUGGGGGCUGGACCUGGACCUCGAGGUGUUGCAGGAAGUGUGUNNNNNNNNNNNNNNNNNNNNNNNNNNNNNNNNNNNNNNUGGGGAUGAUUGGGGGCUGGACCUGGACCUCGGGGUGUUGCAGGAAGUGUGUUAUAAGGCAGAAAUGGAGUUUGCAAAGAGAAAAGAAAAGGAAAGGUCGGAGAUGCAGGAGAGGACUGCAAAGCAAAGUCGAUACAGUGAUUAAGAUGUGAAACCCCAGCUCAAACAACAACAACAGCAACAGCAACAGUAGGCAUUGCUAGCUCAUCACGGACACAGCAGCUGCUGCACAUGAAAGGAGAGUUGUAANNNNN
rnacentral:lncRNA from 1 species